GAUGAACGCUGGCGGCGUACUUAACACAUGCAAGUCGAACGGUGAAGGCGGAGCUUGCUCUGCUGGAUCAGUGGCGAACGGGUGAGUAACACGUGAGCAAUCUGCCCCUGACUCUGGGAUAAGCGCUGGAAACGGCGUCUAAUACUGGAUACGAGCUGCGAAGGCAUCUUCAGCAGCUGGAAAGAACUUCGGUCAGGGAUGAGCUCGCGGCCUAUCAGCUUGUUGGUGAGGUAACGGCUCACCAAGGCGUCGACGGGUAGCCGGCCUGAGAGGGUGACCGGCCACACUGGGACUGAGACACGGCCCAGACUCCUACGGGAGGCAGCAGUGGGGAAUAUUGCACAAUGGGCGAAAGCCUGAUGCAGCAACGCCGCGUGAGGGACGACGGCCUUCGGGUUGUAAACCUCUUUUAGCAGGGAAGAAGCGAAAGUGACGGUACCUGCAGAAAAAGCGCCGGCUAACUACGUG
rnacentral:rRNA from 1 species